rnacentral:rRNA from 1 species
UACGAAGGGGGCUAGCGUUGCUCGGAAUUACUGGGCGUAAAGCGCACGUAGGCGGCUUUCUAAGUCGGGGGUGAAAUCCUGGAGCUCAACUCCAGAACUGCCUUCGAUACUGGAGAGCUUGAGUCCGGGAGAGGUGAGUGGAACUGCGAGUGUAGAGGUGAAAUUCGUAGAUAUUCGCAAGAACACCAGUGGCGAAGGCGGCUCACUGGCCCGGUACUGACGCUGAGGUGCGAAAGCGUGGGGAGCAAAAGGG